AUACUAACCUGGCGCAGGGUGUACCGUGAUCAGGAAGACGGUUGCCCCGGCCCGGAUCCGGCCAUUGCACCCCGGCCGGGCGCCCGGACCGCGAAUGUCCCACGUGGACCAUUCGUGCGUGUAAUUUUUGGUAGUUGGACUAGCGUACUGCGCAGUCCUG